rnacentral:tRNA from 1 species
CGGCGAGUAGCGCAGCUUGGUAGCGCAACUGGUUUGGGACCAGUGGGUCGGGUUCGAAUCUCGCCGACCA